rnacentral:ncRNA from 1 species
UGUUAGAGGUGCUAUUUAUAAAUAGUAAUAAAUUGGAGCUGACGGGCUAUGAUAAUUUAUGAAAGGUAUAGUAGCCGAAGGAAUAUUUUAUGUAAAAGGGUAUUUCUGGGUAUGUAUAUAACAUAUGCAUAACUGUCACGAAAGUGGAGUGCUA